rnacentral:rRNA from 1 species
GACGAACGCUGGCGGCGUGCUUAACACAUGCAAGUCGAACGGAAAGGCCCUGCUUUUGUGGGGUUCUCGAGUGGCGAACGGGUGAGUAACACGUGAGUAACCUGCCCUUGACUUUGGGAUAACUUCAGGAAACUGGGGCUAAUACCGGAUAGGAGCUCCUGCUGCAUGGUGGGGGUUGGAAAGUUUCGGCGGUUGGGGAUGGACUCGCGGCUUAUGAGCUUGUUGGUGGGGUAGGGGCUUACCAAGGCUUUGACGGGUAGGCGGCCUGAGAGGGGUGACGGCGACAAGGGGACUGAGGUACGCCGCAGUCUCGUACGGGCGGCAGCAGGGGGGAAUAUUGCACAAUGGCGGGGAGUCUGUUACGACGGCGCCGCGUGCGUGAUAACGGGCUUCGGGUUAUGAACCGCUUUGGCCUGUGACGAAGCGUGAGUGACGGUAAUGGGUAAAGAAGCAACGGCUAACUACGUG